UGGGGAAUAUUGCACAAUGGGGGAAAACCCGUGAUGCAGCGACGCCGCGUGAAGGAAGAAGUAUUUCGGUAUGUAAACUUCUAUCAGCAGGGAAGAAAAUGACGGUACCUGACUAAGAAGCCCCGGCUAACUACGUGCC
rnacentral:rRNA from 1 species